rnacentral:lncRNA from 1 species
UUAUCUAUACAUCCAUCUAUCCAUCGCAUAUCAUCUAUACAACUGUCAUCUGCCUGUCCUUCUGCUAACCCUCUGUCAUCUAUCUACCCACAUAUCUAUCUAUCGUGUACCUCUCUUUGGUUGUCCUUCUCUAGAGACCCACUAGCUGAUACACCUAUUUCUAGUCACAACAUCUGAAACUGUCUCCAGGCACCAUACACGUGUACAUGCCAGCACAUAGGCAGAGGUGGGUAAUAGAGAUAAGGACCAUCAGUUUAAGACUAGCCUGGACAAUAUAGCAAGACGCUAUUAAAAAAGAGAAGUCUCUUUAUAUUUCUCAAUGUGCCCUGGAGGGCAUAGCAUUCUAUUGAACAAAUUGGGGGUUGGAGCUUGCCACUGGGGGGCAUCUCUCAGGAGUAUUUCUUCCCCCUGAGCUAAUGUGGGCUCAGAUAAGUCUUCUUGCAUAGGUGUGCAGAUUGACCCAUGGAUAUCUCAGCAGGCUCUGCUUCCCUACUGCUGUUUGAAAUUAUAUUUCCAGAGAGCAAUUUCCAUCAGGAAAACAGCAAUCCCACCUCUAAAAUACCUCGGAUUGUCUUUUUCUGUGACCCAUGGUUGCAAAAUCUCUAGUCCCCAUGAGCUCCAAUUGGCUUACAGAUAACUCAGUGAAAGUCCAAGGGUAUAAAUUAAAACCCCGGUGCUUCAAGUCGUUUCAAUCCCUUUUAAGCCAACGGCCUUUUCAUACUCCUACUUGAUUAUUCCAGAGUGACAGGUACUGAAUCUCACCAAGCAUGUUCUCAAGAGGCUUUGUAAGAACAGAGCCAAAGAUGCACAGGUGACUGCUUGAGCAUAAACUGGACAAGGAUGCAGGUGGGGCAUGGGCCCUGGCUAGGGAGCACCUCUCUUCACAAGUCCUUGCUGGGGCUAGUCUAGGCAUCAAGCCAAGAGCUAACCCAAGCUCCUCUUGGGCCUAAUCUUUAAUGAUGUAACUAGAAUGAAUAAGGAAGACUGGAGAGGCUGAUCUUAAUACAGUGUAUGGACCAGCAAUGCAUGUGAUCAGUAUCAUGGACACUGUUGGGCUGAAGUGGGGGAGAUGAAGUAGGAGUGCGUGUGCCUCCAGAUCCCACUGGAGAUGUCUUUAGUCGGGAGGAGUGUUGCCUUCUCCUGAAUGCCCCUCUUUUUGCAGGGGAUUGUCUAGAACAGACCCCAGCUCCUUUUCUUGUCUGCCCUGGGCCAACUCCUCCCCCCUACUGCCUGUCCUAUGCCCCUGCUUUCCUCUGCUCUUGUCAAGUGUCUGCAAAUAAUGAGGCUAAUUCGUCUUGAUUCCUGAGAAGGAGAAACCUUUCCACGGAGCCAUCCUGUGGCUCACAAACCCUCUUCAUUACCACACCCUUAAUGGAGCCUGAGGCUCAUCUUAAAGUGUGUCAGGAACAUAAAAUUUUUCGGGUAUUUUUUUUCUUGCUUGCUGAAAAGUGUCUCCCUAAUUGCCUCCCUCUUCUGCUUGUAAAAAAAAUGGACUUCUUAGUUCGUGUUUCUGUAUGCUUAGCACAUUAGAUAUUUUUCCAUGUGCAUGCAGCCUUAGCUCACGCCGAAGAUGUUCCAUUAAUUAUAAUUGUGAGCCAUAUUACAGCAACGACAUGGAGAGCCAUUCCAACAGCCUGAGUAUUCGGGUUAAAUUAUUUCCAAAGCUGACAUUUCCCCAGGAAAGAGAAGAGUGGGAGCUGUUUGUAAGAAGAAAGGUUAACACUACACAAUUCAUCUAAAAUCAAGAGUUUCUCUAUUUUCUCUUCUUAACUCUUUCCCUUCUUCCCUUUCCCCCCUUUCUGGCUUUCCUCUCCCCCUCGCUCAUUUCCUCCUCUUUUUCCUCCCUUCUAGUUUUCUCUCUCCUCCCUCCACUUCUUCCUUAGCUUCUCCCUCAGUCUCCCCCUUUCUCCUCUUAAUAAACAGCAGCUCUAGAGUCACCUGAACCUUUGGCAAUAGGGGUAUGAUCGAGGGUGAGCCACUGUUUAGCCUCUUUAGUCUCCGGCUUAUGAUCCCCAGAUAAUGACUGAGGUUUACUCUUUACUGUUCCUGAAAGGAUCUCAAGCUACCAAGUAUAUGAUUAGUUCUGAGGUCGUACGUACUAGCAGAUGCCAUCAGCUCUGACUAUUGUUCUAUGGCCAAGCACAGAGGCACUGAAGGUAAGUGUGAGAAAGAAUAGCAUUGUCUCCUCCUUGUAGAAAAACUAUCAAUGUCUGUAAAAAUAACCCUUCACCAUAAAAAGUGAGCUACAGAGCCUACAUCUCUGAAGCAAACAAAACCAAUGUCUAGUGCCCCGCCCCAGUAGUAAUGAGUGAUUCUAGAUCUGACAUAAUAUCAGAAAAGAUUCCAGUCAUUUCCAAACACAGAAAACAAAUAAUCCCUCAUAGAGGAGGAUGGUAAAGGAAGAGAGAGUGCAUGUCCCUGGACAGAUGCCUGGGAGGAAACAGAAAUGUAUUUUCAUGUUUUUAAAUGUGCUAUCUGACUUCAUUUUCUACAGUCCUGGAAAGAAUAAUUUUGAGAAUUCAUGUUUGGAAAAGCAGAGCUGUGAAUUCAAACCUCCUAGGAGAGAACCCAACUUCAGGUCGUAUGUGAGAGUACAUUUGUACACGUGAGCACAGCGACACACACGCAGAGGCACUAGUGUGGGGGAUCAGAGGACAAUCUGGGGAGUCAGUCUUCAUCUUCCACCUUGUUUGAGACAAGGGCUCCUUGCUGCUCGCCACUGCAUGUACCAAAUGAGACAGCCAGCUUGUGUCUGGAUAGUCUCCUGUCCCAGACUUCUGUCUUAACGGAUGCACACUGGAAUCAAUGAUAUGUGGAUAUGUGGAUUCUAGGGAUUGGAUUCGGGUCUUCAUACUUGGCAAAUGCUUUAUGCAUUAAGCCAUCUCUCCUGUCCCUGUUCCACUGCGAUGUCAUGGACGGCAGAGCUAGCUCCUGCUCACAGAGCUGGCUCCUGCUCACAGCCCAGAGCUGUGGCAAGAGUAGGCAUUGUUGCCUCUCUAGAGCCCAAGGAAAAAUGGGAGUGAACACAGAAGUUUCAGAGACC